rfam:Schistosoma rodhaini strain Burundi genome assembly, scaffold: SROB_scaffold0000813
CCACUGCUGAGGAGUCCCAUAAUAGUACGAAACGGUCGUCCAGUGC